rnacentral:rRNA from 1 species
CCAGACUCCUACGGGAGGCAGCAGUGGGGAAUAUUGCACAAUGGGGGAAACCCUGAUGCAGCGACGCCGCGUGAAGGACGAAGUAUUUCGGUACGUAAACUUCUAUCAGCAGGGAAGAAAAUGACGGUACCUGACCAAGAAGCCCCGGCUGACUACGUGCCAGCAGCCGCGGUAAUACGUAGGGGGCAAGCGUUAUCCGGAUUUACUGGGUGUAAAGGGAGCGUAGACGGCCAUGCAAGUCUGAUGUGAAAACCCGGGGCUCAACCCCGGGACUGCAUUGGAAACUGUGCGGCUGGAGUGUCGGAGAGGCAAGUGGAAUUCCUAGUGUAGCGGUGAAAUGCGUAGAUAUUAGGAGGAACACCAGUGGCGAAGGCGGCUUGCUGGACGACGACUGACGUUGAGGCUCGAAAGCGUGGGGAGCAAACAGGAUUAGAUACCCUCGUACC